GACGAACGCUGGCGGCGUGCCUCCUCCCUGCACGUCGACCGCUUCUUUCCUCCCGAGUGCUUGCACUCAAUUGGAAAGAGGAGUGGCGGACGGGUGAGUAACACGUGGGUAACCUACCCAUCAGAGGGGGAUAACACUUGGAAACAGGUGCUAAUACCGCAUAACAGUUUAUGCCGCAUGGCAUAAGAGUGAAAGGCGCUUUCGGGUGUCGUUGAUGGAUGGACCCGCGGUGCAUUAGCUAGUUGGUGAGGUCACGGCUCACCAAGGCCACGAUGCAUAGCCGACCUGUGAGGGUGAUCGGCCACACUGGGACUGAGACACGGCCCAGACUCCUACGGGAGGCAGCAGUAGGGAAUCUUCGGCAAUGGACGAAAGUCUGACCGAGCAACGCCGCGUGAGUGAAGAAGGUUUUCGGAUCGUAAAACUCUGUGGUUAGAGAAGAACAAGGACGUUAGUAACUGAACGUCCCCUGACGGUAUCUAACCAGAAAGCCACGGCUAACUACGUG
rnacentral:rRNA from 1 species